rnacentral:tRNA from 1 species
GAGGGUAUAGCUCAGUGGUAGAGUGCAUGCUUAGCAUGCAUGCACGAGGUCCUGGGUUCAAUCCCCAGUGCCUCCA